rnacentral:rRNA from 1 species
GACGUAGGGCGCGAGCGUUGUCCGGAAUUACUGGGCGUAAAGAGCUCGUAGGUGGUUUGUCGCGUUGUCCGUGAAAACUCACAACUCAAUUGUGGGCGUGCGGGCGAUACGGGCAGACUGGAGUACUGCAGGGGAGACUGGAAUUCCUGGUGUAGCGGUGGAAUGCGCAGAUAUCAGGAGGAACACCGGUGGCGAAGGCGGGUCUCUGGGCAAUAACUGACGCUGAGGAGCGAAAGCGUGGGGAGCAAACAGG